rnacentral:rRNA from 1 species
AUUGAACGCUGGCGGCAGGCCUAACACAUGCAAGUCGAACGGCAGCACAGAAGAGCUUGCUCUUUGGGUGGCGAGUGGCGGACGGGUGAGUAACACGUAGGAAUCUACCCAGUAGUGGGGGAUAACCUGGGGAAACCCAGGCUAAUACCGCAUACGCCCUGAGGGGGAAAGCGGGGGAUCUUCGGACCUCGCGCUAUUGGAUGAGCCUGCGUCGGAUUAGCUAGUUGGUGGGGUAAGGGCCCACCAAGGCGACGAUCCGUAGCUGGUCUGAGAGGAUGACCAGUCACACCGGAACUGAGACACGGUCCGGACUCCUACGGGAGGCAGCAGUGGGGAAUAUUGGACAAUGGGCGCAAGCCUGAUCCAGCCAUGCCGCGUGGGUGAAGAAGGCCUUCGGGUUGUAAAGCCCUUUAGGUGGGGAGGAAGGCAUUCAUGCUAAUACCAUGGAUGAUUGACGUUACCCACAGAAUAAGCACCGGCUAACUCCGUGCCAGCAGCCGCGGUAAUACGGAGGGUGCAAGCGUUAAUCGGAAUUACUGGGCGUAAAGCGCA